rnacentral:rRNA from 1 species
UGGGGAAUAUUGCACAAUGGGCGCAAGCCUGAUGCAGCCAUGCCGCGUGUAUGAAGAAGGCCUUCGGGUUGUAAAGUACUUUCAGCGGGGAGGAAGGGAGUAAAGUUAAUACCUUUGCUCAUUGACGUUACCCGCAGAAGAAGCACCGGCUAACUCCGUGCCAGCAGCCGCGGUAAUACGGAGGGUGCAAGCGUUAAUCGGAAUUACUGGGCGUAAAGCGCGCGUAGGUGGUUAUUUAAGUCAGAUGUGAAAGCCCCGGGCUUAACCUGGGAACUGCAUCUGAUACUGGAUAACUAGAGUAGGUGAGAGGGGAGUAGAAUUCCAGGUGUAGCGGUGAAAUGCGUAGAGAUCUGGAGGAAUACCGAUGGCGAAGGCAGCUCCCUGGCAUCAUACUGACACUGAGGUGCGAAAGCGUGGGUAGCAAACAGGAUUAGAUACCCUGGUAGUCCACGCCGUAAACGAUGUCUACCAGUCGUUGGGUCUUUUAAAGACUUAGUGACGCAGUUAACGCAAUAAGUAGACCGCCUGGGGAGUACGGCCGCAAGGUUA